UGGCGCGCAGUCCCAGAAGCCUGGCUGUUUGUGGCCUGGCUGACGGUCAAUACCGGCUUCCAGACACGCCAUGUGAGGCCACGUUAGGCCACCCAGCCCCACUGAACCACCUGAUAGAUGAAUUUCACGGCUUGAGUGACUCCGGUCGGGCCUGCAGAUGAAGCACUAGAUACCUUCCACCUUGAAUUUCCUAUGACUUUAUGAUGCUACUUAAGAAGACAAGACCCAAGAAACACUUAAUGAACAACAGCAUAUGUGAUGAAAUACAGCCAACGAGUCCCAAAGAGCCAGAAAACAGACUCUGGAGAAGGAGGAUUUGGGAAGCAAGAUCAAAUCUGGGUGAAGGUUGAGGAUGGGGAGUCAUUUCAGUCUCUUCACUCCUAGGUCAUCAAGCCCAACGUGAGAAGCGGAAUCGAUGUGAAUUGUGGGCUCACAGCCUGGAUCACUUCAGCCUCAAGCGAGGAGGAAUCCCUGUAGCUGAGAUGAGUCCCAUUUGAACAACAGGAAGAAUGAAAGAAUUUGAAGUUUGUAAGAGUGCAUGGAAAUAGUGCAUAGAAAGCUGAGGAGAAGGGUCACUAUUUUUCAUAUUUAUCAUCAGAAAGCUUUUUAUACAGAAAAUAGUGGAUCCAUCAGUCAUCCUUUGUGAAAUUCUAUGGGGAUAGGUCAUGAGUCAACACAGCAAGAGGGAUUUGUGUUAGCUACAAAGGAAAUAUUUGCUGAUAGGACAGGCUAUAAAAUGGAGGGGCGAAUCUUUAAAUCUUAAGCUGAAUUCCAUCAAUUUCAGUGGUCUGCUCUUUGAUCGAGGUGUAGCGGUAUUGUUUACUAGAUAUAUCAAAGUCCUUCCCACAUCAGAGAGUCUGGAAUUUUUCUUAGUGACUCAGUUUUACUUAAGUAUGCCUAUUUUAAGAAAAAAAAAUUAUUUCAGGGUUGAUCACAGAAUCAUUUAAGCACAAGGAAUUCUGUAAGAGGACUGUCUUACUAAAAUGUUACCUUUAAUGGCUUUAGAAAAAUCCCUGGAGUGCAGAAAAUGUCAUUGGAACAUCUAUUAAUGUUUACUCUCUAAAAGCGUUUUUAACAAGGACAUCAAGAUUGCAGGUGAAUUCUUCCAGUUAAUAUAACAGAUAUGUUAAGUCCGUAAAGUUCCCGUAGGUCUGUCACUGUGUACGAAGUUGGGAACAAAGAAACCCAAUAUUCUGUGAGCCACAAAAGAGGUAAACAAAAAGACAAACUCCCCUGACUCUCAGCACUUUUCAUCUCUGCAUUGCUAUGCCCAGAAAAAGAGAACAAUCCAGAGUUACUUUUAGCAUUUACAACUCAAUACAAUACAAAAUUGUAGAGGUGAACAACUGUUCAAAUUGACUUACUUUUUUCUCAAAGUGGCUGUGAGUG